UACGAAGGUGGCAAGCGUUGUUCGGAUUCACUGGGCGUACAGGGUGUGUAGGCGGUUUGGUAAGCCUUCUGUUAAAGCUUCGGGCCCAACCCGGAAAGCGCAGAGGGUACUGCCAGGCUAGAGGGUGGGAGAGGAGCGCGGAAUUCCCGGUGUAGCGGUGAAAUGCGUAGAGAUCGGGAGGAAGGCCGGUGGCGAAGGCGGCAUCCUGGACCGACAUUGACGCUGAUGAGCGAAAGCUAGGGGAGCAAACGGG
rnacentral:rRNA from 1 species